rnacentral:rRNA from 1 species
GCACCCGCACAAGCGGUGGAGCAUGCCGUUUAAUUCGAAAAUACGCGAAGAACCUUACCUAGACUUGACAUCCCCGGCAAAGCUAUGGAAACAUAGUGGAGGUUAUCCGGGUGACAGGUGGUGCAUGGUUGUCGUCAGCUCGUGUCGUGAGAUGUUUGGUUAAGUCCAAUAACGAGCGCAACCCUUAUCUUCUGUUGCUAACAUUUAGUUGAGCUCUCUGAAGAUACUGCCAGUGUAAGCUGGAGGAAGGUGGGGAUGAGGUCAAAUCAUCAUGCCCCUUACGUCUAGGGCUACAGGCGUGCUACAAUGGCCGAUACAACGAGUCGCAAUGCAGCGAUGCAAAGCUAAUCUCUUAAAGUCGGUCCCAGUUCGGAUUGGAGUCUGCAACUCGACUCCAUGAAGUCGGAAUCGCUAGUAAUCCCAAAUCAGCAUGUUGGGGUGAAUACGUUCCCGGGUGUU